GCUGAUAUGGCCGAGUCGUUAAGGCGAGUGAUUUGAAUGUAUGCAAACAUCACUUGGAGUUUCUCCGCGUAGGUUCAAAUCCUGCUGUCAGCG
rfam:Trametes pubescens strain FBCC735 TRAPTBscaffold_459, whole genome shotgun sequence.